rnacentral:rRNA from 1 species
UACGAAGGGGGCUAGCGUUGCUCGGAAUCACUGGGCGUAAAGGGUGCGUAGGCGGGUCUUUAAGUCAGGGGUGAAAUCCUGGAGCUCAACUCCAGAACUGCCUUUGAUACUGGAGAGCUUGAGUCCGGGAGAGGUGAGUGGAACUCCGAGUGUAGAGGUGAAAUUCGUAGAUAUUCGGCGGAACACCAGUGGCGAAGGCGACUCACUGGCCCGAUACUGACGCUGAGGCGCGAAAGCGUGGGGAGCAAACAGG